GGGGGCGCAUUGGUUUCGACGGGGAUGUUGAAGCCGAAGUGGCAGGCCGAGGCGCCGCUGGCCUCGUAAAAAGCGGCACAAUAGUAAUUGGCAACGAUUACGACUACGCUUACGCUGCCUAAUUAGGCGGCACACCAAACCGGCUCACGCCCGAUAAGCCGGCGAGGUGCAAAACGCAUCGGGCUGGCGUGCGGCUGCGUUUGCCGGACCUCACGCGAGACUUUACGGUGAACUGGCCGAAGGUCGCCCUGAUUGGGGGCCAAACCGGAGGCGAGACGUUAUUCCCAAUCUAAGCCUGUAGAU
rnacentral:tmRNA from 1 species